rnacentral:rRNA from 1 species
GUGAGGAAUUUUCCGCAAUGGGCGAAAGCCUGACGGAGCAAUGCCGCGUGAAGGAUGAAGGCCUAUGGGUUGUAAACUUCUUUUCUCAGAAAAGAAUUAUGACGGUAUCUGAGGAAUAAGCAUCGGCUAACUCUGUGCCAGCAGCCGCGGUAAGACAGAGGAUGCAAGCGUUAUCCGGAAUGAUUGGGCGUAAAGCGUCUGUAGGUUGUUUAAAAAGUAUUCUGUCAAAGAUUAGGGCUUAACCCUAGAUAGGCAGAAUAAACUUUUAAGCUAGAGUUUGGUAGAGGCAGAGGGAAUACCCGGUGGAGCGGUGAAAUGCGUAGAUAUCGGGAGGAACACCAAAGGCGAAGGCACUCUGCUGGGCCAAUACUAACACUGAGAGACGAAAGCGAGGGGAGCAAAUGGGAUUAGAAACCCGGGUAGUCC